rnacentral:rRNA from 1 species
CUCUUCUACGGGAGGCAGCAGUGGGGAAUAUUGCACAAUGGGCGAAAGCCUGAUGCAGCGACGCCGCGUGAGGGAUGACGGCCUUCGGGUUGUAAACCUCUUUCAGCAGGGAAGAAGCGAAAGUGACGGUACCUGCAGAAGAAGCGCCGGCUAACUACGUGCCAGCAGCCGCGGUAAUA